rnacentral:tRNA from 1 species
GCGCCUGUAGCUCAGGGGAUGAGAGCGUCUGCCUCCGGAGCAGAAGGCCGCAGGUUCAAAUCCUGCCAGGCGCGCAA